AGGAAAUUCACAUUGGAAAGAGCCAAUACGGCUCUGGAAUCAGCAUGAUGUUAAUUAAGUCCAGCCAAGAGAUUUUCUGCCUGUUUGAACCCACCUGCCGUAAUCUUUUCCUUGCCUUCUCCUUUCUUUUCCAGCACAUGACUCAGACAGGUCGAUUAGCAAUGGACAUGGAUGACACAAAAUCUCACAAUGAGCAUGGAUUUGAUGGAUGUCUGAAUGAGUAGAUAAUAGGAACAAGUAUGGUGGAUGAGAACCAGUGUGAUGCAGUGAUUUAAACAUCAAACUACAUCUCUAGAGACCGUUGCUAACAGAUUUGAUUGAUUUGAAGGCAAACAACAACAACAACAGCAGAAGCAGCAGCAGCAGCAGCAGCAGCAGCGGAAUAUUUAUAUUUGUAACUUUCAGUGCCUUGAAUUUGUAAUGUCAUUUUGAUUACUUCUUUAAAAAUCCUAGGAUUUCCUCCAGAA
rnacentral:lncRNA from 11 species